rnacentral:rRNA from 1 species
UGUGACCUCAAAUCAGGUAGGACUACCCGCUGAACUUAAGCAUAUCAAUAAGCGGAGGAAAAGAAACUAACAAGGAUUCCCCUAGUAACUGCGAGUGAAGCGGGAAAAGCUCAAAUUUAAAAUCUGGCGGUCUUUUGGCUGUCCGAGUUGUAAUCUAGAGAAGUGUUAUCCGCGCUGGACCGUGUACAAGUCUCCUGGAAUGGAGCAUCAUAGAGGGUGAGAAUCCCGUCUUUGACAUGGACUGCCAGGGCUUUGUGAUGCGCUCUCAAAGAGUCGAGUUGUUUGGGAAUGCAGCUCAAAAUGGGUGGUAAAUUCCAUCUAAAGCUAAAUAUUGGCGAGAGACCGAUAGCGAACAAGUACCGUGAGGGAAAGAUGAAAAGAACUUUGGAAAGAGAGUUAAACAGUACGUGAAAUUGCUGAAAGGGAAACGCUUGAAGUCAGUCGCGUUGUCCAGGGAUCAACCUUGCUUUUGCUUGGUGCACUUCCUGGUUCGACGGGUCAGCAUCAAUUUUGAUCGUUGGAAAAAGGCCAAGGGAAUGUGGCAUCUUCGGAUGUGUUAUAGCCCUUUGUCACAUACAAUGGUUGGGAUUGAGGAACUCAGCACGCCGCAAGGCCGGG